UCCUGAGAAACCUUAAGGUGCGUGGCUGG
rnacentral:piRNA from 1 species